CAAUAGCGUAUAUUAAAGUUGUUGCAGUUAAAACGCUCGUAGUCGGAUUUCGGGGCGGGCCGACCGGUCUGCCGAUGGGUAUGCACUGGCCGGCGCGUCCUUCCUUCCGGAGACCGUGCCUACUCUUAACUGAGCGGGUUCGGGAGACGGAUCGUUUACUUUGAAAAAAUCAGAGUGUUUCAAGCAGGCAGCUCGCUCUUGCAUGGAUUAGCAUGGGAUAAUGAAAUAGGACUUUGGUGCUAUUUUGUUGGUUUUGAGAACCAGAGUAAUGAUUAAUAGGGAUAGUUGGGGGCAUUCAUAUUUCAUUGUCAGAGGUGAAAUUCUCAGACCAAUGGAAGACGAACCACUGCGAAAGCAUUUGCCAGGGAUGUUUUCACUGAUCAAGAACGAAAGUUAGGGGAUCGAAGACGAUUAGAUACCAU
rnacentral:rRNA from 1 species